UGGGGAAUUUUGGACAAUGGGCGAAAGCCUGAUCCAGCAAUGCCGCGUGUGUGAAGAAGGCCUUCGGGUUGUAAAGCACUUUUGUCCGGAAAGAAAUCCUUGGCUCUAAUACAGUCGGGGGAUGACGGUACCGGAAGAAUAAGCACCGGCUAACUACGUGCCAGCAGCCGCGGUAAUACGUAGGGUGCAAGCGUUAAUCGGAAUUACUGGGCGUAAAGCGUGCGCAGGCGGUUUGCUAAGACCGAUGUGAAAUCCCCGGGCUCAACCUGGGAACUGCAUUGGUGACAGGCAGGCUAGAGUAUGGCAGAGGGGGGUAGAAUUCCACGUGUAGCAGUGAAAUGCGUAGAGAUGUGGAGGAAUACCGAUGGCGAAGGCAGCCCCCUGGGCCAAUACUGACGCUCAUGCACGAAAGCGUGGGGAGCAAACAGGAUUAGAUACCCUGGUAGUCCACGCCCUAAACGAUGUCAACUAGUUGUUGGGGAUUCAUUUUCCUUAGUAACGUAGCUAACGCGUGAGUUGACCGCCUGGGGAGUACGGUCGCAAGAUUAAAACUUAAAGGAAUUGAC
rnacentral:rRNA from 1 species